AGAGUUUGAUCAUGGCUCAGAUUGAACGCUGCCGGCAGGCCUAACACAUGCAAGUCGAGCGGAUGAAGAGAGCUUGCUCUCUGAUUCAGCGGCGGACGGGUGAGUAAUGCCUAGGAAUCUGCCUGGUAGUGGGGGACAACGUUUCGAAAGGAACGCUAAUACCGCAUACGUCCUACGGGAGAAAGCAGGGGACCUUCGGGCCUUGCGCUAUCAGAUGAGCCUAGGUCGGAUUAGCUAGUUGGUGAGGUAAAGGCUCACCAAGGCGACGAUCCGUAACUGGUCUGAGAGGAUGAUCAGUCACACUGGAACUGAGACACGGUCCAGACUCCUACGGGAGGCAGCAGUGGGGAAUAUUGGNCAAUGGGCGAAAGCCUGAUCCAGCCAUCCCGCGUGUGUAAAGAAGGUCUUCGGAUUGUAAAGCACUUUAAGUUGGGAGGAAGGGCAGUAAGUUAAUACCUUGCGGUUUUGCCGUU
rnacentral:rRNA from 1 species